rnacentral:tRNA from 1 species
GCGCCCGUAGCUCAACUGGAUAGAGCAUCAGAUUGCGGAUCUGAAGGUUACAGGUUCGAGUCCUGUCGGGCGCACCA